ensembl:lncRNA LINC01572 long intergenic non-protein coding RNA 1572
CUGGGCAAUGGCGGGCGCCCCUCCCCCAGCCUCGCUGCCGACUUGCAGUUUGAUCUCAGACUGCUGUGCUAGCAAUCAGCGAGAUUCUGUGGGCGUAGGACCCUCCAAGCCAGGUGUGGGAUAUAGUCUCGUGGUGCACCGUUUUUUAAGCCGGUCUGAAAAGCGCAAUAUUCGGGUGGGAGUGACCCGCUUUUCCAGAGAACCUUUUUGUGAUGAAAACGAGAUGAAACUAUGGAAGAACCAGAGAAGCAUCAGCCUGAGAAGGACUCAACUGAUUAUUGCUGGCUUUGAAGACAGGAAGGAGCCAUGAGCCAGGGAAUGCUGGUGACCUCUGGAAGCUGGAAAAGGGAAGGAAGUAGAUUGUCCUCUAGCCCCUUCAGAAAGGAAUGCAGCACUGUGACACCUUGAUCUCACAGCAGUAGAAAACAGAUGAAUACACCUAGAUUUCUUCCUGCGUGAAUCCAGUUGAGGGGAAGGUAUAAAAUUUUCAAAUGGAGGAGUAUACCUGAACCUAAUCAUGGAUGUGAUUUUAUAUACAGAUAAGCUGAUUCUAAAACUUACAAGAAUGGCAAAGAAACAAGAAGAGCUUAAACUGCAAUCAUCAACAGAGAAGCUUUCUGCAACCAAAGUGAAGACUGAAGCCUUAGGCUAUGGCAGAAGUUGGGCGCCUGAAGUACACGUGGAAAUAUGCCAACUGAACAUUGGACUACCACGUCAAGGGUCUCCUACCCCUGGGCCAUGGAUCAAUACCAGUCUGUGACCUGUUAGGAACCGGUAGCAGGAGAUUACCUUGAAGGAAUGUAUGUUCUUCACGUGGAUGGAGAGAGAUGCAGUGUGUGUUUAUUUUAGAAAUACUGUAGGAAUAUAGAAAACAUAAGUAAAAGUUGUGAUGGAUAGUUGAAA